UACGUAGGGUGCUAGCGUUAAUCGGAAUUACUGGGCGUAAAGCGUGCGCAGGCGGCUUCGCAAGUCAGACGUGAAAUCCCCGGGCUUAACCUGGGAAUGGCGUUUGAAACUACGGAGCUGGAGUGUGGCAGAGGGAGGUAGAAUUCCACGUGUAGCGGUGAAAUGCGUAGAUAUGUGGAGGAAUACCGAUGGCGAAGGCAGCCUCCUGGGCCAACACUGACGCUCAUGCACGAAAGCGUGGGGAGCAAACAGG
rnacentral:rRNA from 1 species